rnacentral:rRNA from 1 species
UACGGGGGGUGCGAGCGUUGUCCGGAAUCACUGGGCGUAAAGGGCGCGUAGGUGGCGUGAUAAGGGUGUGGUGAAAGCCCGGGGCUCAACCCCGGGUCUGCCAUGCCGACUGUCAGGCUAGAGUACUGUAGGGGCAGGCGGAAUUCCGGGUGUAGCGGUGGAAUGCGUAGAGAUCCGGAGGAACACCCGAGGCGAAGGCGGCUCUCUGGGUCGUACCUGACGCUGAGGCGCGAAAGCGUGGGGAGCGAACGGG